UGGGACUGAUGACUGCUUAGGACACCUUUGGAUUAACCCAUGAAAAUACGAGCCUAACUGACUUGC